CAGCGGAGGGCCGGCCUGGGCGGCGGGGGCGUCCGCGAGCGGGGCCGGUGCGCCCCUGGGAGUGCAGCGCCGCGCGCGGGUCCUGCUCGCUGCGGGGGCCGAGGCCGGGGGCCGGUGGUCGGCGGGGAGGCCCGGGCCGGUGGUCGUCGGUGGCCGGUGGUCGGUGGCCCGCGGUCCGUGUGGCCCGAGGCCGGUGGUCGGUGGCCCGUGGCCCGGCGCUCAGCAGGCCCGGCCCGGCUCCCACGCGCGCCCCGCCUCGCACGGCGGCCGGCAGCAGUAGGGGUAGGAGGCGUUGAGGUCGGGGUCCGAGGGCGCGUAGCCCGGCAGCUCCACCGACGGGUGCCCCCCGCAGCGCACCUCCGCGCCCGCCUCGUCCCGCGCGUGCAGGACGCCCACGCUGAUGUAGGACACGGCGUGGCGCGCCGCGAGGCCCGCGCAGUCCCCGGGGGCGGCCAGGUCCGACUCCUCCGGCGCCAGGAUGGACGCCUCGCUCGGCCGCGGCUGCAGCCGCCGCCCCCGCCGCCCCCGCCGGCCCCGCCGCGCCCGGGAGGCCGCAGGCUGCGCGCGGAGCCCGGGGCCGCCGCGGGGCCGCGCCGGGGCCCGGGCCGCCCUCCUCCGGCCGCGCCGGCCGCGCCGAGCCUGCGACGCGCGGUAGUUCUUGACGAGCAGCAGGCUGAGCAGGCCCAGCAGGCACUCGAGCGAGUUGAAGACGGUGGAGAGCACCAGGCCGCGCUGGUAGUCCUUGAGCUGGCGGCACUUGGCGGACGUGGCGCUGUCCAGGGCGCUGCGGGCGCGGGGCGCGGGGGGCGCGGGCGGCGCGGGGGGCGCCGGGGGCGCGGGCGGCGCGCGGGGCGGCAGGCAGUAGUGGGAGUACUUGCGUUCCACGAGCGACACGGUGUCGCCGUCGAUCACGGCGCCCGCGAAGGCGCUGAGGACCCCGAGCAUGAAGACCAGGACGCCGAGCAGGAGCAGGUUGUGGCUCUUCGCCGGCCCCGCGGGCCCCGCGCCGUUCCCCGGCUCCCCGGGCGCGGCCUCCGCGGCCCCCGCGCGCGCCGCGGCCGCCCCGAGCCCCGGGCCCCGCGCCGGCCCCGCGAGCGGCGCGUCCCGGGGCCCGCAGCAGAGCAGGGCGGCGCCGAGCAGCGAGAGGCCGGCGGCCAGCAGCAGCCCCGAGUAGAAGGCGCCGGCGGCCGCCCCCAGCCGGAACGGCUCCCCGCGCAGCUCCGAGCCCAGCGAGAAGCACUUGAGGCCGACGGCGGCGGCGCUGAGCGCGCAGGCGAGCAGCAGGCAGGAGGAGAGCGCGGCGCAGGCCCCGCGGACGCUCCACUUCAUCCUCCGCGCCCGAGCCGGCCCGCGCCCCGCGCGCCCGCCGCCGCCCGCCGCCGCCCCCGCCGCCUGCGCCUCCUCCCGGCGCCGCGCGGCCGGACCGCCGGCCUCCUCCUCAUCCUCCCGCGUCCUCCCCGGCCCGCGCCGCCGCCGCCGGAGUCCGCAUCCUCCGCCUCCCGCGCCGGGAGCCGCUGCGGCGCAGGACCGCGGGGCGCGCGCCCCCUCCCCAGCCCGCCGCGCCCCUCCCCGCCCCUCCCCGCCCCUCCCCUCCCCGCCGCCCCGCGCGCCGGGCCCGGCGCCGCCCUCCCCCGCCGCAGCCCCCGCGGCCCGGGACGCCCCUCCGCCGCCUCCCCGGGGAGAAGCGCCCCCCGCGUCUCCCCGCCUCCCGCCCCGUACCCCGGCCGCCCGGCCCCCCGCGCAGGGCGCCCCCCGGGCCCGCCCCCCGGGCCCUCCCACCUCCCGGGCCCCUAA
rnacentral:lncRNA from 1 species